UUUUGCCCAGGAGAUCGGGAGAGGGGUUCUGGUCUAGCAUGAGGGCUGGGACCCACCAGGUUUUUUCCUGGUGUCCCACCGGGCCAGUCCGACCCUGUGUACAGAGAUGUGGGGGGAGAGUGUCAUUCAAAGUCUAUGGGAAGUGACUGUUCCCACUGAGUUUAUAUUCUAUAGUCUGACAUUUUGUUUUACUUGUAGAACGCACUUCGGAUUCAUGUAUUAGAAGCAAGAAAUCUCGUUGCAAACGACUUCUUCUCCAAGAAAUCAGACCCUUUUGUAGUUGUGCGCGGAGGAGGCACAGUUGGGAAAACCAGGGUCAUAUCUAAGAACCUCAACCCGCAGUGGAACCAGACAUUUGAGAUAUUAUUUUCAGAUUUACCAGGGCAGGAGAUUGAAUUUGAGGUUCUGGACAAAAAUGUUCAGAGAGAUGAUUCACUGGGCAGGUGAGUAUUUCUCUUUGUAUCAGGGUCUGGGCUUCCAUUUAUUUUAUCUUUAUUUCAUCUUUUAAUACAUAUACUGAUUUUCCUUUUCUCUUCCCCAAUGUCCAGCUGUAAAAUUGCAGUUCCACAUGUGCUAAAGAAGAAAUUCAUUGAUAAGUGGAUCCGGUUGGACAAUGUGAAGUCUGGGGAGCUCCAUAUCAAGGUGGAAACUCUCAAACUCUUUUCAGACCGUGACAAGCUGCAGAAGGUAAAGUCUCUGUUCCUUCUUAUCUGACUAAAUGGGGAAAGGUUGGGCUCUUUUGCCCUUUAAUCCAUCUACUUUGUUU